rnacentral:rRNA from 1 species
ACUGCUCAGUAACACGUAGUCAACAUGCCCAGAGGACGUGGAUAACCUCGGGAAACUGAGGAUAAACCGCGAUAGGUCAUAAUUACUGGAAUGUGUUAUGGCCCAAAUCUAUAUGGCCUCUGGAUUGGACUGCGGCCGAUCAGGCUGUUGGUGAGGUAAUGGCCCACCAAACCUUUUACCGGUACGGGCUCUGAGAGGAGGAGCCCGGAGAUGGGCACUGAGACAAGGGCCCAGGCCCUAUGGGGCGCAGCAGGCGCGAAACCUCUGCAAUAGGCGAAAGCCUGACAGGGUUACUCUGAGUGAUUCCCGCUAAGGGAAUCUUUUGGCAUCUCUAAAAAUGGUGCAGAAUAAGGGGUGGGCAAGUCUGGUGUCAGCCGCCGCGGUAAUACCAGCACCCCGAGUGGUCGGGACGAUUAUUGGGCCUAAAGCAUCCGUAGCCGGUCUUGCAAGUCUUCCGUUAAAUCCAGCUGCUUAACAGAUGGGCUGCGGAGGAUACUACAAGGCUAGGAGGCGGGAGAGGCAAGCGGUACUCAGUGGGUAGGGGUAAAAUCCUCUGAUCCAUUGAAGACCACCAGUGGCGAAGGCGGCUUGCCAGAACGCGCUCGACGGUGAGGGAUGAAAGCUGGGGGAGCAAACCGGAUUAGAUACCCGGGUAGUCCCAGCUGUAAACGAUGCAGACUCGGUGAUGGGCUGGCCUUGUGCCAACCCAGUGCCGCAGGGAAGCCGUUAAGUCUGCCGCCUGGGGAGUACGGUCGCAAGACUGAAACUUAAAGGAAUUGGCGGGGGAGCAC